UACGUAGGGUGCGAGCGUUGUCCGGAAUUACUGGGCGUAAAGAGCUUGUAGGUGGUUUGUCGCGUUGUUCGUGAAAUCUCACGGCUCAACUGUGAGCGUGCGGGCGAUACGGGCAGACUAGAGUACUGCAGGGGAGACUGGAAUUCCUGGUGUAGCGGUGAAAUGCGCAGAUAUCAGGAGGAACACCGGUGGCGAAGGCGGUUCUCUGGGCAUUACCUGACGCUGAGGAGUGAAAGUGUGGGGAGCGAACAGG
rnacentral:rRNA from 1 species